CAGAGAAACCAUGCCCUAAGAAGAAGAGGGAGGUGGGCUAGACAUUCGCUAUAGUAAGACCAUGCAUGUGUGUCACCAGAACUAGUUCUUUACCUGGGUCUGGUUUUCUGAAUGCUAGUGACCAGC